CUGGGUGUAGCGCAGGCUGGUAGCGCGCCGUCCUUGGACGACGGAGGUCGCUGGUUCGAAUCCAGUCACCCAGACCA
rnacentral:tRNA from 1 species